UUUUGCAGUGUCCUGCAGGAUGCUGUGUCCUGCAAUCCUGUGUGCUGUGCUACAGACGCGUGUGGAGGUCAACCCGAAAUGGGCACAGUAGCGUGAAAGAGGAUCCUGGCAGGGAGACGGUAGUGUCCUGCAGGAUGGUGAUGGGCAAUCUUACAAGAGACCACAGAAAACUGAUAUAGUCUCCCAGAAGUGAGACUGAGUGCCUGUUGCAGUAUGACGAGGAAGCAGUGACCAGAGACCUUCAGUAGACCCUGCUGGCAUGAUUGGCGGCUGAAGAACAUAAUCAACAGCAAUGUUUAUAAUAUUGUACAUACCUGUAUAGUCUGCACUAAAAUGCUGUACCUGUACUAUUUUUCCUCUUACUUUCAUAUUUACUAUGAAUUGACAACUUUUACUCAAAUCCAUUUUUGUAUGUGCCCUGACUAAAACUAUCCUUAAACCUAACCUGUCAGAGGUGUAAUAACAACCUGCUCUUAGCAAUGUGGCAGCAGUCUACUUGGAUGCAGCGGGGAACAUAGAACCCUUUUUUUGAAAAAGCAUUGUAUGUUUCUGAGUUUUAUGAAUUGUGCCCUUCCCAAACCUAACCUGUCGUAGGGGCCUAUGA